rnacentral:rRNA from 1 species
GACGAACGCUGGCGGCGUGCCUAAUACAUGCAAGUAGAACGCACAGUUUAUACCGUAGCUUGCUACACCAUAGACUGUGAGUUGCGAACGGGUGAGUAACGCGUAGGUAACCUGCCUGGUAGCGGGGGAUAACUAUUGGAAACGAUAGCUAAUACCGCAUAAUAUUAAUUAUUGCAUGAUGAUUAAUUGAAAGGUGCAAUUGCACCACUACCAGAUGGACCUGCGUUGUAUUAGCUAGUAGGUGAGGUAACGGCUCACCUAGGCGACGAUACAUAGCCGACCUGAGAGGGUGAUCGGCCACACUGGGACUGAGACACGGCCCAGACUCCUACGGGAGGCAGCAGUAGGGAAUCUUCGGCAAUGGACGAAAGUCUGACCGAGCAACGCCGCGUGAGUGAAGAAGGUUUUCGGAUCGUAAAGCUCUGUUGUAAGAGAAGAACGGGUGUGAGAGUGGAAAGUUCACACUGUGACGGUAUCUUACCAGAAAGGGACGGCUAACUACGUG